rnacentral:lncRNA from 1 species
AUGAUGACAGCAGUGGAAAAGCUGGUGAAGGAAACCUCCUGGUGGAAGAAGAGGAAUGACGGCAGUGAGGGAGUGAGAGAGAGACAAUCCCAGACCUGGAACCACAGAGUGUGUGCUGCUCUCCUGCUCUGCUCUCCAUUCUCCCGGCUCCAAUUUUUCAGGGGCUCUGUGGAUAUGGAGAGGGAUGUUACGAUUUCCAGGCCUCCCACUGUCACCUGAUAUGUAUGGAGAACAGAUCAGGUGAUUGGACAAGUCCACUUCCACACAGCUUCCCACCAGGGCUUCUGAGCCAAGUCUAUUUACUGUCUCAUUCAUGCCUGUUGUGAGGUCAUCUUUAUUCAGUUAGGGUCUCGCCAAGGAGUCAUGAAGCAAUCAAGAACGAUGCAAUGUUAAACUGGUUGGUCACACCAAAUGGCUGAUGAGCAAAUCUGCUUGGCCUUAAUGUCACUAUAUCUAUUCCCACAUCAAUGUGAUAAUUGUGUUCAAGGUGGACACUCGAGAGUAUGCUUUGCCUGUCUACACUGGUGGCCUAUUGCAUUGUAAGAGAAACGGGGAAGGGCAAAGGAGAGGCAGAGAGGGACAGAUAGAUGGAGGAAGGGAAGUAGACAGGGUUGAAGAGAUAGAGAGGGGCCCAUAUUGAGUGACACAGACUAUGGUUUGUGUUUUCUCGGUGGAGCAGAGAAGAUGCAGUCUAAAUGAAGCUUGCUGCAGCAUGGCGGUUUCUGCUUUAUCCUUGCACUGUGUGUGUGUGAGUGUGUGUGUGUGUGAGUGUGUAAAGGGGAAAUGACAGAGGCUUCUUUGAGUACUCAGAGGCCACUGUUCUCCCUCUGUUGUUUCAUGGUUAGAAUCAUUUGGGAGUAGUGCCAUUCUCCAUGCAAAACCCAUCUCCAAAGAUAACAGGAGGAUAAACAACACAGGUGAACAUGGAUAAAUACAGAUUAUGCAUCCACCUGAGUGGUAAAAACACGCUGUCACAAUUGAUCCACAAUGGGCGCCAGGAUGUGUUUAUCUAAUGGCACAUAAUCUGUUUGUGAGAGCUUGUUGGAACCACAGCAUUUGUAAGAGAGACUAUUUGUUUUCUUCUUUUUAUUUUCAUCUAAUUUGGAAGGACAUUAAAACCCUGUGGUGAUUUUGUGUCUCUGUCAGGGCAGUCUGUAGGACGAGGGCCUCCUCUUGUGUUCGGUGUGUAAAACUACAAAGACAAUGGGAGGGUUUGGCACAUUGGCUAUAUACUACGCAUUGAUAUGAUUUAUAACAUAGAGGGUAAAAUACUAUGCUCACUUCACUGAUUUUAAUAAAAAUGAGGAAAAACUGUUCUUGAAACUAUUAUAAGUCAAAUCAUUAUGGCCCAGUUGGAGCCAAGCAUUAAUAUUAAA